UCACAGGGGCAUUUUAGUCAUUUUUCUCAAAAAUCUCAAAAUCAGUUAAAAAUGUAGUAUGCAAGUGGAAAACACAUAUUUCAUAAUCAAAAAUAAUUUUGGAUGUCUAAAACAUUCGUUUAAAAUGAAAUUAUGACUAUUAGUAUAAAAUAAAAAUAUUGAAUAAAACAUUCAAUUUUCUCAUAAAACAAUAUUUUAAGAACACUGCAUAAAUAAUUUUUACAGCGUAAAAGUAAAAUAAAUUCAUAUAUAUUGUAAUACAGAUAAUCAAAGUAUAAAAUUAAAUUUGCAGUGACACGUGGGCCCACGAACGACUAAAAGUAUCUAGAGAGAUAAACCUACAUAUUUUGAGGAUGCUAGUCCAAUUGUAACCCUCGAUAAAAUGAGCUAUGUACCGACUACCCUAAGCCUGAAAUGGGUGGAAAGAAGGGUGGUGAGAUUAUAUAAUCUCAGUGAGUAAACAAAUAUCAUUUAAAACAUCUAAAGGCGAAUAAAAUGAGACUAUAAAAACAUUUCAUUAAACAGUAAUUUAUCAUUUAUCGACUUAUUUCAACCAAAUGAAAUCAAUUUAUUUAAAUCAAGUAAUCAGUAUGGCUUAUGAACUUCUUAAAACUUUGGCUCAUGCCGAAAUCAUUAUCAUACUCAGUUAUCAGGGAUACCUUGAUCGAGGGCUAUCCCAACCGAGUCCGCCAAGGCUGUUAAAAAAAUUCACAUUUUGCAUAAAUCAUAUUUUUAUUUUGAAACAUAUAGACGUUCCUUGGCGUUAGCGGAGUUCAUCAUCACGAGGUGGUUCGACGUGAAGUGAACUCUAAAACUAUUAGCCUCAGGAGUUAUCCACCCACGCCUCUCAUACUAAGGUAAGAUAUAACAGGGUUUACCGUGCUCCUCUAAUAGGCUGGCCCACUAAAACUCGCCUACUGCAGUGGCUAGUUAAAUUACCCACCAUACAAUAAAAUUCAUUCUAGCAUGACAUGGCAAUUAUUGUAAUUCAUAGCCUGUCAAGGCUAAAUACACAUUUCAUAUAUUUUAACAUAAAUACCAAUUUAGCCAUUCAUGCAAAUAUUAUCAUAAGCCAUUUAUUCAAAUCAUAAAUCUACAACAUACCAGUGGUCUCCAAUUACUCUAUUUUUCAAAAUCAUUAUUUCGUUUCAAGACAAUUUAUAAAAUCAUUUUAUUUAAACAUAUUUUAUUUGUAAAACCAAAAAUUAACCAUUUAAACUCAUUUUCAUAAAAUUCCACCAAAAUCGAUUAAAAUCAUACUUUAGAUAAUUAAAAUGAUGAUAAGGUUACUCACAGUAUUAGGAGUAGAAAUACUCCUAUCCUCCGCCCUCGGGUGCAGUCUCUUACCCGAAACAAUUGACUCACCACCUAUCCAUAAUCCAUGACACAAAAUUCAAUAAAUUGUGUCAAUUUAUCAUAAAUUAUUUCAGGCUCUUAUCCAUGCGUAUGCACUAGAUAGGAUUUGAAAUGUCUAGACAAUCGCUUAAUUGCGGUGUCCGACCUAACUCGCCUAUACACGGUGUAAAUUCCUAAAAUCCCCAAUUCGACUCCAAUUCCAUCCAUUUCAAUUUCAAUUAUCCAAUUAUAUCCACAAUACCUCAAUGACUGUGAAUUUGGUCCAAUUUAUCAGUCCGGACUAUAAAUUACGCUUUUACCCCUAGUGGGUAAAAAUUUCAAUUUAUUGCACCGAAAAUUCCCAUUUAAUUUCCAACCUCAUAAUUCAUCAUUUUUCCACCCAAUUCUCUUAAAAUAAAGUCAACCUCAUCCUCACAUACCAUUGGCUAGAUUCGGCCUAGGGAAAUUCAUGGAGAAGAUAAAUAUUUUUCUUGUUGUUUUACUCAUAAACAUGCUAAACUAACACUAAACACUAACAUAGCUCAAAAUCAAAUUUAUCUAACAACUUUCUCUCUCUAAACCCAUAUGACCAGAAUUGAAAUCAUCCUCAAAUCACAUGAUUCAACCAUGAAAAAUGAUGGGAAAUGCAUGGGAAAGGUAAAGCACAAGACAAAUUUAAGAAAUGUUACCUUUUUUUCACUUGAUUUUUGAAUUUCCACCUAUUUUCCCUUUAAAUUUCUUGGCUAGGGUUUUAUUUUCUCCUUUCUCUCUCUUGUUUCUUGCUUGGCCGAAUGUUGAAGAAGAAGAAUGGGUUAUGGGCUGAUUUUUUUAUGCCUUUUUAUUAGUUUAAUGAAAUAAUAUUAUUUUAUUCAUAUUUUGAAUAUUUUAUUAAUUCAUUUUUUUU
rnacentral:lncRNA from 1 species